AUAGUUUAACAUUUUCUGCAACUUUAAAUUAGACUGCAAUUCUGAAUUUUAAUUUUAAAAAUAAAAUAUCUAAUAUUUUCAUAAGAGAAAUUUUAAUAAAAAUAACAAUUAUACUUUUGUUUUUCAAGGAGAUGAAAAUCUAUGCGAAGAUAUCAGUUUUAAAUUGCAUUGAAUGGAAUACUCAAACGUUGAAAGACAAAUAAGAUGAAAUAAGAACAUAGAAUGAAAAUGAAGAUGAAAAAUGAAACAACCAGUAUAAAUAUAAGACAUAGUUGAAGCCUAAGGAAGUAUAUUCAGAUAAGUCAUAUCACUGACUCUUCGACCCACCUGAAGGCACACGGAUAAAUAAUACUGAAUGACCGGACCGCCGCAGCAGCAACACUGGCGGAAACUGUGGUUGAGUCCUAAAGGCCAUCACCGGCCCCGAUACAACCCUUCCCGAAGGAAGUACGUCCCAUCAUCGAUGGGAGGAGCUAGAUCCCAACCUUUUGGUGUAACCUCCAGGGUGGCGAGAUCCAACCACCAUACCGGAAACAUAUCAUCCUCAUUUCGAGGUGCCCCGUCGGGGGUUUAGUGUAUUCAGAUAAAAAAUUUAAUAAUAGUUUGACAAGAAAUGUUACAAUGGGAGUAAUUUUUUUUAUUUGCUUAAUUUGUCUAUACUGAAAUGUCUGCAAUUUUAGUUUAUUUUCCAUUCUAUGAAAAUAUCUUAGGUUAGGAAUUGAUACAUAAACAAAAUUAUUCUAAAACCAUCUUAAUUCGUUCAUUUUAUUUUCAUUAAUUUUUUUCGUAUUCUCAUAAAUUACAUUCAAUUUAAAUUUCACACAUUUUGUUGCACAGAUUGUGAUGGGGGGAGGGGAAAUCCAACAUGUGACAUGAAUAGGAAAUGAACUUUCCUUAAAAGAUAAAAUAAAUUCUAAAGAUAUAAUGAAAAUUACAAAAAUGUUGGAUGAAUAAGCACAGUGAAGGAAUAUUAGCAUAAAAAAGUAUUUUUCAAGCAAUUAAAAUUGAUGAGCUCCAUAUAUGUUUUAUUACAAGUGAUAAUUAGAAAUAAAAAAAUUUAGGAGAAGAAAAACUUAAAGACUUAUUAUCAUUUAUAGACCUAUUAUCAAAACUAACCAAUUAUCUGAAUUUCAGUUAUACAUAUAGUCAUAUAUUUCGAAUAAAAAAAAAAAGAAAAAAAGAAAUCCUCAAAAAAUUUUUUGAUAAAACCCAGUAAGGAUAUCGAAACACCUGGCUUUCAUAUAUUCAAGCAAUGACAAUUUCAUACAAUACGUGAAUAAAAAAUAUUUAAACAACAUUAUUUUUGUAGUCAUUAAAUUAAUAGGUUUUAGGUAAUUUCAUAUUUUUUUUCUAAAAAAUAACCUUUAUUAUCCAAUUAUUUGGAUCGGAUUUGGUUCUAAAUAUGCAGGAUUAUUGGAGCUUUAUUGUAACUUUAAAAUUUUGUAAGCAUUCAACAUUUUAUGUAUAGAUAUAGAUAUAGAGAGCUAGAUAGAUAUAGAUAGGUAGAUAUUUUGUUCAGGUUGCAAUUAUAAUAGAGUGUCAAAAAAAUUUUAAUUUUUGAUA